rnacentral:rRNA from 1 species
UGGGGAAUAUUGCACAAUGGGCGCAAGCCUGAUGCAGCCAUGCCGCGUGUGUGAAGAAGGCCUUCGGGUUGUAAAGCACUUUCAGCGGGGAGGAAGGCGAUAAGGUUAAUAACCUUGUCGAUUGACGUUACCCGCAGAAGAAGCACCGGCUAACUCCGUGCCAGCAGCCGCGGUAAUACGGAGGGUGCAAGCGUUAAUCGGAAUUACUGGGCGUAAAGCGCACGCAGGCGGUCUGUCAAGUCGGAUGUGAAAUCCCCGGGCUCAACCUGGGAACUGCAUUCGAAACUGGCAGGCUAGAGUCUUGUAGAGGGGGGUAGAAUUCCAGGUGUAGCGAUGAAAUGCGUAGAGAUCUGGAGGAAUAACGGUGGCGAAGGCGGCCCCCUGGACAAAGACUGACGCUCAGGUGCGAAAGCGUGGGGAGCAAACAGG